ensembl:snoRNA
AAGACUAUGCUUUCAGGGAUCAUUUCUAUAGUUUCUGACUUGGAAGUUUGAUUUGAAAGUGUAAAGUCUCUCUAACCACGAUGACGAGUUAAGAUGCUUUCUUCUGAGCGUGAAUCGGGUGGUGAGCGACGAGCGAGAUUGUCUGCUCUUUGUCAUUGAUGAACGUUCCUGCUGUGCUUUGCAGUCUGGAAGAAGAAAGCAUGUUCAGAGUGGUU